rnacentral:rRNA from 1 species
GACGUAGGGUGCGAGCGUUGUCCGGAUUUAUUGGGCGUAAAGAGCUCGUAGGCGGCUUGUCGCGUCGACUGUGAAAUCCCGCGGCUCAACUGCGGGUCUGCAGUCGAUACGGGCAGGCUAGAGUUCGGUAGGGGAGACUGGAAUUCCUGGUGUAGCGGUGAAAUGCGCAGAUAUCAGGAGGAACACCGAUGGCGAAGGCAGGUCUCUGGGCCGAUACUGACGCUGAGGAGCGAAAGCGUGGGGAGCGAACAGG